UCUAUCAACAUGGAGGAAAAAUGAGUGAAUAAUAUGUUCUCCAUUUUUCUCAUUGGUUUUCUCUUCUUAGCAUUGUUUCUUUCUCCCAAUCUUAAAUUUCAGAAAGGCUUCAGAAAUUGGUUGUGGCCCAAAACUAAGAGGAGGAACAUGUGAUUGGGUUCGAGUUGCUCAGAAGAAUUUGAAGGUCUGGUUACUUGAGUGGCGUAUCGGAGAGUCUUAGAUUGCUAAGCGGGCCGAAACCCGGUUCGUUGGAAGUCUAGAUUUUCUGGUCCGUCACAAUAAGCCACCAGCUUAACUUUUGAAUCGUCAGGUACAUCCACAAACUCAAAGAAAGCUUCAACUUCGUAAAGCCAGUCCAAUAACUCUUCAAUUUUGAAACUUCCAUUAAAAAUGAAUCCGAGCUUUUUUUAGAAGACUCAGCAGUGUAUUUUGGUUUAAAACCUUGGUAUUCCAUAAGAGAAGUUAAUGGAGCAGGAAUCUCUUCCAGCUGCACUCUUUUUGCGAAGUUUCAAUAGCAAGAAGCCUUCUUUCUGUAGGGUUUGAUUUUUUAUUUUAUUUUUGUGUAAUAUGGGUGCGGAAGAGAAAAUAGGAUCUAAGAAAGAAUAAAAAUGUAUUCUACUGUCAAAGGAUACCAACUAGUGUAGGCUGAUAAGAGAUUGAAAAGAGAAGAAUGCAAUUCUGAAAUUGCAGGGAUGAGACACAAAGAUGCGAAGAAGAUUACAAAAAACUGGACAGGCAGAUUAAGAAAAGAAAAUAACGAUUAUAUGUCUUAAUAUUAUUCAAUAAUAAUGUGUUCUGUCUUUAUACAGAUCGCCUCUUA